GUUGUGCUAGCACUAAAGACUGAAAUAAAAUUAAUGUAAAAGUGCAUUCUCAGAUUUUCCCUGAGCUUUAAAUUCAAAACGAAUUGAGGUGUGACUGAUGUAAUUUUUAAAACUUCAACUUCUUUAGCACUAUGCCCUAUUUUUAAAAUUGAAUAAAAACAAAUAUUGUCUAUAACAUGGUAUCAGAGAUUCACAUCAAAGAAUACCAAAUGUCUAGGGACUUAAAUGGCAUUUAUUACACAUUAGGAUGGGGAUAGGUGAAUAUUAGAAUUAGAUGACGGUUCAGCAAGACUCUCAUUAAAGUUAAAAAGAUUUUUUUUUUUUUUUUUUUUUUUUUGAGACGGAGUCUCGCUUUGUUGCCCAGGCUGGAGUGCAGUGGCACGAUCUCGGCUCACGCAAGCUCCGCCUCCCGGGUUUACUUACGCCAUUUUCCUGCUUCAGCGUCCCGAGUAGCUGGGACUACAGAUGAAUUGCUAAACGAAUUGUGAUACAGCCACACAAUGGACUACUGCUCAGCAAUAAAAAGGAAUGAACUAUUGAUAUGCCCAACAACGUAGAUGAACCUCAAAACCGUUAUGUUUGUUGAGAGGUUCGCUGUGGCUUGAACGUCUGUCCCUUGCCAAACUCAUGUUGAAAUGUAAUUGCCAUUGUAACAGUCUUAAGAGCCGAGCAUGGUGGCUGACGCUGGUAAUUCCACCACUUUGGAAGGCCAAGAUGUGAGGAUCACUUGAACCCGGGAGUUCCAGACCAGCCUGGACAGCAUAGUGAGAUUCUGUCUCUAUGCAAAAUAAAAUAAAAUAAAAAAUUAUCCAGGCACGGUGGCAUGCGCCUGUAGUUCCAGCUACUUGGGAGGCUGAGGCAAGAGGAUUGCUGGAACCCAGGAAGUUGAGGAUGCAAUAAGCUUGAUCACGCCACCACACUCCAGUCUGGGCGACGGAGCGAGACCCUGCCUCAAGAGAACAAACAACAACAACAGAAACCUAUGUUUCCCUCUAUGCACUGCUUUAGCUCGUUCAAUUUAAAAUAGUCUCUAAUUUCCCUCGUAUGUCUUUUAUGAUCCAUAAAUAAUUUAUAAGGGUGCUGUUUAAUUUCCAAAUAUUUGUGAUUUCCUCUGAAAUAGAUUAUUCCCACUGACUUAUUUCUGAUUUGUUUCACACAGUGUGCUUUGUAUGAUUUUAAUACAUUUAAAUUCAUUUAAAAUUGUUUUAUGGCCCAACAUAUGGUCAGUCUUGAAAAAUGUACUUCUUUUCACUUGAAAAGAAGUGUGUUUUUCAGUUCUAUAAAUGGUGUCCUAUGAAUUUCAAUUAGAUCAUGGGAGUUGAUAAUGUUAAAAUCUUCUAAGUCUACUGAUUUUUAAAAAUCUAGCUGUUGUAUUAAUUGGUAAGAAGAGUCUUAAAUAUAAUACUCUGACUGUAAAAUAGUCUAUUUUUUCUUUUCAUUCUGUCGAUUUUUGCCUGAUGUAUUUUGAAACUCUGUUCUUAGGUCUAUACACAUUUAUAAUUAUGUCUACACACAUUUAUAAUUAUGUCUACCUGAUCAAUUGUUCUUUUUUCUCAUAAUAAAAUAUCCCUCAUCUCUUCUAAUAU
rnacentral:lncRNA from 10 species